rnacentral:rRNA from 1 species
GAGGAGGGAGGGAUCAUUACACAAAUAUGAAGGCGGGCUGGAACCUCUCGGGGUUACAGCCUUGCUGAAUUAUUCACCCUUGUCUUUUGCGUACUUCUUGUUUCCUUGGUGGGUUCGCCCACCACUAGGACAAACAUAAACCUUUUGUAAUUGCAAUCAGCGUCAGUAACAAAUUAAUAAUUACAACUUUCAACAACGGAUCUCUUGGUUCUGGCAUCGAUGAAGAACGCAGCGAAAUGCGAUAAGUAGUGUGAAUUGCAGAAUUCAGUGAAUCAUCGAAUCUUUGAACGCACAUUGCGCCCUUUGGUAUUCCAAAGGGCAUGCCUGUUCGAGCGUCAUUUGUACCCUCAAGCUUUGCUUGGUGUUGGGCGUCUUGUCUCUAGCUUUGCUGGAGACUCGCCUUAAAGUAAUUGGCAGCCGGCCUACUGGUUUCGGAGCGCAGCACAAGUCGCACUCUCUAUCAGCAAAGGUCUAGCAUCCAUUAAGCCUUUUUUUCAACUUUUGACCUCGGAUCAGGUAGGGAUACCCGCUGAACUUAAGCAUAUCAAACCGAGGAA